UUUUUUUUUUAGUUGCUUCUGAGGCGAAAUUGAGAUCUUGGAAUUUGACGUUUUUUGAUUGAAUUUCGAUGAUGGCUAGAUUCAGUCCGUUAUAUUGAUAUCAUUUUUUUCCUUUGCAUCUUUUAAUUGGUGAUGACAUUGCAGGGGGUUUCCGCAUUGGGGUACACUGCCAAAUCGGAGUAUCGGAAAGCUCUUCCGGUAAGAUCGGUUGAAUGAGAAUUGUUCUGUUGCUCAUUCCGAUCGCUUUACUCGCAAACCAUAGUGGUUUUGACAAAUCACUUUCGCCUUGCGCUUGUGGUGUUUCUGAUCUUUUGCCAUUGUCUUGAUCGGGGCUUCUAUCUACAUAUUUUCAUCAAUGAAUCUUUUCUCGGCAUGUAAUUUCUGUAUCUUUAGAUAUGUGUCGAUGCAAUGACUUUUGAUGCUAAAUUUAGAACGGAUCACGUGAUGCUCUCACCUUUCAAAUUUUUGGUUAAGGCCUUUUAUUUCAACUCGGCGAUCAUUGGGCUGUCUCUUACACUGACUGGUUUUAAUAUAUAUCCACAAGUGCUAAGUUCCACUACAACUAUAGAGAAAAAUAAUGAUCACAGGACUCCACUUAAACAAGCUUUCACUGCACACUUCUCUCUCGUCCCUAUGGCCCAUUCUCUAUGGAAGUAAGUAAUAUGAUGAUUAAUGUUUAAGUAGUUUCAUUCGUUCGUUAACUAGUUAAUGGAGCAUCUGUUGUUUUAGGGGAUUUUGAUUGAGCAGCUCCGUUUGUGGCUUUUCAAGUGUAGGAUGGAAAUAGAUUUUUCGAUUGCUUUAGUAAUAUAUAUCCUUUAAAUUUGAUACCUUGUCUUUUCUGGUUCAAAUGGAGUAGUAUGGCAGUUUCACUAUUCUUGGAUUGGCUUCUCCUUAACGGUGUCCGCAAUUGUGGUGUUUGGUGGGAAUGUAGUCACCAUUUUCAUGAUUGCCAUGCUAGGCAUUACAAACAGGAACAGACUGAGAACUUGGAGGGUAUGUUUUGGUUCUGCAUGAAUCACUUCAACCAAGAGGUUGUAUCAUGUAAUCCUGUUUACUUAUAUGUUAAUGUGUGUUCGAUUGCUGAUGUAGUCAGAUCAAAAUCAUGACAAAUGGGGUGGUUCACAAGGUCCACUAAAUGUUUUAAAUGUAUGCAUUGAACAUCUAUCUCCUGUGCAUGCAUGAGUUCUUUACCCUCCUAACAUUGCAUUGGGGAAGUUAUUAAUGUGUUUUGACCAGUUUGAUUGGAAUCAAAUCACAUAGGGGUGUUCAACUAAGCUAAUCAUUCAACUUGAUGUCCAUCCGAGGCACGUCUGGAAAAGCACUUUUCUAUGUGCUUCCAAUCCUCAAAGCAAAUUCUCUCAUUUCUAGGCGUAGCUUUCCUGCUGAACGCUACAUAUUACGGAGGCUUGGUUAUGUAUCCUCCAUGGCUUCUCAGAUUUUCUAGGUUUGCAGUUUGGGCAUAAUGAUACCGGCCUCGAAGUGCCCUUGUGGUUUCUUUUAUAUUUUAAGGAAGUCUCUUUCAUAUGUAGCUUUUUGACUGCUUCAUGAGGAAGUACUGAGUGUACUAACAAUGUAGGUAUGACGUGGAUUAUACAAAUAUCACCAGCAAGAGUGACCACCCCAUGGGCUAUCAUUUUGUUCAUGCUCACAGGUCUGUUCUUGCUCAGUGUCAAAUACUCUUACUUGAGAAACUGAUAUAAAUUGAAAGAAAAAUGAAGCAAAGAACAAGGUGGAAGUGCAACCUCCAAUGUACCUGAGGAUUGAGUACCACCACGGCAAUGCCACUGUAGUCCCUACAGCGAGCUGUUCCUCCUCUUUUCACCGCACAGCUCCUCCCUCCUCUUCCCGUAAGUUUUCUUAGCUGCUUCUGAGGUGAAAUUGAGGUCGUGGAAUUGGACAUUUGUUGAUUGACUUUCGAUUGAUGCUAGAUUCAAUCCAUUAUAUUUAUAUCAUUUUCCUUUCUUUUAAAUGGUGAUGAUAUUGCAGCAGGAUUUUGCAUCAAGAUUGCUGCCAAACCGAAGUAUCGGAUAAUUCUCCAGUAAGAUCAAUUGAACGAGAAUUGUUUCGUAGCUCAUUCCACACGCAGAUCAUAUUAAAAAAAAGAUCAGAAUCAUGACAAACGGGAGGUUCACCGGUCCACUAAAUGUUUUAAGUGUAUAGGGCAUAUAACUUCUGUGCAUGCAUGGGUUCUUUACCCUCCUAACAUGGUAUUGUGCAAGUUAUUAAAUCACAUAGGCAUGUUCUGCUCAACUAAGCAAUCAUUCAGCUUUGCUGUCCAUCUGAGGCAUGUUCAUUAAAGUAGUUUUCUACGGGCUUCUCAUUUCUAGACAUAGCUUUCCUGCUGAACGCUACAUACUACAGAGGCUGGAUUAUGUAUAUCAUUCAUUGCUUUUCAGAUGUUCUAGGUUUGCAGUCUGGGUGAACUUCUUAGCUAUGUUGGGUUUACCUCAUUGAAUAUUGGAACAUUUCCUAGAUA